rnacentral:rRNA from 1 species
GAUGAACGCUAGCUACAGGCUUAACACAUGAAAGUCGUGGGGAAACGACAUCGAAAGCUUGCUUGUGAUGGCCGACGACCGGCGCAAGGGAGCGUAACGCGUAUCCAACCUGCCCACCACUUGGGGAUACCCUUGCGAAAGUAAGACUACUACCCAUUGAUAUCUCUAGAAGACAACUGAAAGAGACUAAAGAUUUAUCUGUGAUGGAUGGGGAUGCGUCUGAGUAGCUUAGUGGCUGGGUAACAGCCCACCAAGGAUACGAUCAGUAGGGGGUCUGAGAGGAACGUCCCCCACAUUGGAACUGAGACACGGUCCAAACUCCUACGGGAGGCAGCAGUGAAGAAUAUUGGUCAAUGGGCGAGAGCCUGAACCAGCCAAGUAGCGUGCAGGAUGCCGGCCCUAUGGGUUAUAAACUGCUUUUAUAAGGGAAUAAAGUGAGUCUCGUGAGACUUUUUGCAUGUACCUUAUGAAUAAGGACCGGCUAAGUCCGUGCCAGCAGCCGCCGUAA